rnacentral:rRNA from 1 species
GCAGCAACGCCGCGUGUGCGAUGAAGGCCUUCGGGUUGUAAAGCACUUUUCGAGGGGAUGAGGAAGGACAGUACCCUCGGAAUAAGCCUCGGCUAACUACGUGCCAGCAGCCGCGGUAAAACGUAGGAGGCGAGCGUUAUCCGGAUUUACUGGGCGUAAAGCGUGUGCAGGCGGUUCGGCAAGUUGGAUGUGAAAGCUCCCGGCUUAACUGGGAGAGGUCGUUCAAAACUACCGGACUUGAGGAUGGGAGAGGGAGGUGGAAUUCCGGGUGUAGUGGUGAAAUGCGUAGAUAUCCGGAGGAACACCAGUGGCGAAGGCGGCCUCCUGGCCCAUUUCUGACGCUCAUACACGAAAGCUAGGGGAGCGAACGGGAUUAGAGACCCCGGUAGUCCUAGCUGUAAACGAUGUAGACUUGGCGUCGGUGGGUUCAAAUCCAUCGGUGCCGAAGCUAACGCGUAUAAGUCUACCGCCUGGGGACUACGGCCGCAA